ACUCCCUUUACAUCGCGACUUAUGUUACGAUGUGUCCGAAGUGGUUUUGUUUCAGAAGCUGUACCGAAUCAUCGUCUUCCCUCCCUAAAACCUAAUCCUCGUCUUCGUGCGUGUGCGAGGUGGCCGGACAUCGUCUUCCUAGGGCGCGCGUGGAAGCCGGCCACGGCGUUGUUGGGUAAGGCGAGCGGCCCUCCGGUGGUGCCUCCCUUCUCUCAGGCGGAGGUGCCUUCUUCUCGUUCCUGUCGCCCUACCUCUCCUUCUCCCAACCCCUCUUCCCCUCUCGGCGGUGCCAGCCCUUGCACCCCUCGCCUUGCUGUUCUCUCCUUCACCUCCCGCGACGGGAGCAUGUUUUGUCUCAGCUUAAUCGAGCAUAAUUUGCAUUUGCCUCCACACUUACUUAACCGUCCGCUUCUUGAUGCAAUUAAGGAAGAACUUGAGAGGUUGUUUUUGGACAAGGUUCUCUCAAAUUUGGGUCUUUGCAUCUCUAUCUAUGACAUUCGAACCAUAGAAGGUGGCUUUGUCUUCCCUGGUGAUGGUUCUUCCACAUAUAAGGUCGUGUUUAGGCUAAUUAUGUUCCGACCAUAUGUUGGGGAGAUUCUUUGCGGAAAGCUUAAAGCAUCUGAUGCCAAUGGUUUGCAUUUGUCUCUUGGGUUCUUUGAUGACAUAAAGGUUCCCGUGCACCUACUCCCACACAAAAGCAGAAUGGGAGAUGAUGGCAUAUGGAUAUGGGAACAUGAGUGUGGAGACUUACCUAUGGAUUUAGAUGAAGAGCCUGCAGGUACAUUUCCGGGUGACCAAAAUUAAUUAUCCUCCCAUUCCUGUGGAGCAAGAUGCAAAUGCAAGUCCCUUCUCUCCUAUGGAGAUUAUUGGAGAGAUCUAUGGCGAUGGUUUGGGACUUCUUUCUUGGUGGGCAGACUAAGUGCCAAAAAACACAAAUUAAAGGACUAUUAAGGGUACUCCGUUGCAUCGGCAAUGGCGGAUCAUCACGUCUACAAAGACCGAAGAUAGUUUUUUUUUUCUUUUUUGGUAAUGUUAUUGUGAACAUAUUCAAUAUUCUCUCUCACACAGCUGGUUUUGAAAAGAUUUCUCGAGUGGAAAUGAUUGUGCCAGUGUAUUAAAUCUACAAUUAACUUUGCUUGGCACUUUACCAGACAUGAUCUUAAUGCUAAAGGGCUAUACAAAUA